CUUGCAGCCAUAUCACAUUGAAACACUGGUUCUCAUAAGAUCACUGAAAUUAAGCAAUGUCGGCCCUGGUUAGUACCUAGAUGGGUAACUGCUUCAGAACAUCAGAUGCUGUAAG